AACAGGGAUUGCCCUAGUAACGGCGAGUGAAGCGGCAACAGCUCAAAUUUGAAAUCUGGCUUCGGCCCGAGUUGUAAUUUGCAGAGGAAGCUUUAGGCGCGGCACCAACUGAGUCCCCUGGAACGGGGCGCCAUAGAGGGUGAGAGCCCCGUAUAGUUGGACGCUAAGCCUGUGUAAAGCUCCUUCGACGAGUCGAGUAGUUUGGGAAUGCUGCUCAAAAUGGGAGGUAAAUUUCUUCUAAAGCUAAAUACCGGCCAGAGACCGAUAGCGCACAAGUAGAGUGAUCGAAAGAUGAAAAGCACUUUGAAAAGAGGGUUAAAUAGCACGUGAAAUUGUUGAAAGGGAAGCGCUUGUGACCAGACUUGCGCCUGGCUGAUCAUCCGGUGUUCUCACCGGUGCACUCUGCCAGGCUCAGGCCAGCAUCGGUUCUCGCGGGGGGAUAAAGGCCCUGGGAACGUAGCUCCUCCGGGAGUGUUAUAGCCCAGGGUGCAAUGCCCUCGCGGGGACCGAGGUUCGCGCAUCUGCAAGGAUGCUGGCGUAAUGGUCAUCAGCGACCCGUCUUGAAACACGGACCAAGGAGUCAAGGUUUUGCGCGAGUGUUUGGGUGUAAAACCCGCACGCGUAAUGAAAGUGAACGUAGGUGAGAGCUUCGGCGCAUCAUCGACCGAUCCUGAUGUUUUCGGAUGGAUUUGAGUAGGAGCGUUAAGCCUUGGACCCGAAAGAUGGUGAACUAUGCUUGGAUAGGGUGAAGCCAGAGGAAACUCUGGUGGAGGCUCGCAGCGGUUCUGACGUGCAAAUCGAUCGUCAAAUCUGAGCAUGGGGCGAAAGACUAAUCGAACCAUC
rnacentral:rRNA from 1 species